rnacentral:rRNA from 1 species
CACGUAGGGGGCGAGCGUUGUCCGGAUUCAUUGGGCGUAAAGAGCUCGUAGGAGGCUCAGCAAGUCGGGUGUGAAAACUCCAGGCUCAACCUGGAGACGCCACUCGAUACUGCUGUGGCUAGAGUCCAGUAGGGGAGCGUGGAAUUCCCGGUGUAGCGGUGAAAUGCGCAGAUAUCGGGAGGAACACCAGCGGCGAAGGCGGCGCUCUGGGCUGGAACUGACGCUGAGGAGCGAAAGCGUGGGGAGCAAACAGG